CAGCAGGGAAGAAGAUGACGGUACCUGAGUAAGAAGCCCCGGCUAACUACGUGCCAGCAGCCGCGGUAAUACGUAGGGGGCAAGCGUUAUCCGGAUUUACUGGGUGUAAAGGGAGCGCAGACGGCAGCGUAAGUCUGAAGUGAAAGCCCGCGGCUUAACCGCGGGACUGCUUUGGAAACUACGCGGCUUGAGUGUCGGAGGGGCAGGCGGAAUUCCUGGUGUAGCGGUGAAAUGCGUAGAUAUCAGGAAGAACACCGGUGGCGAAGGCGGCCUGCUGGACGACAACUGACGUUGAGGCUCGAAGGCGUGGGAAGCGAACAGGAUUAGAUACCCUGGUAGUCCACGCGGUAAACGAUGAAUACUAGGUGUCGGCGCCCAAAGGGAGUCGGUGCCGUCGCAAACGCAGUAAGUAUUCCACCUGGGGAGUACGUUCGCAAGAAUGAAACUCAAAGGAAUUGACGGGGACCCGCACAAGCAGUGGAGCAUGUGGUUUAUUCGAAGCAACGCGAAGAACCU
rnacentral:rRNA from 1 species